rnacentral:rRNA from 1 species
UACGUAGGGUGCAAGCGUUGUCCGGAAUUAUUGGGCGUAAAGAGCUCGUAGGCGGUUCGUCGCGUCGGCUGUGAAAUCCCGAGGCUCAACCUCGGGUCUGCAGUCGAUACGGGCGGACUGGAGUUCGGCAGGGGAGACUGGAAUUCCUGGUGUAGCGGUGAAAUGCGCAGAUAUCAGGAGGAACACCGGUGGCGAAGGCGGGUCUCUGGGCCGAUACUGACGCUGAGGAGCGAAAGCCAGGGGAGCAAACGGG